rnacentral:lncRNA from 1 species
UUUUAUGACUUUUGAUUGUUGAAAAUAUUGAUCUCAUUUGCUAUAUUCAUGACUUUUAAAUUUUUUUUAGGUUUUAUGACUUUUUACGAGCAACAAAUGUCGUUGGAAAGUAGCUAUACAUUUCCUUCUCCUUUAAUAUUUUAUUCACUGGAUUAUUGUGGGGAUGGUUUGGAUGAGUUGUUUGAGCUUUUUUGGUUCCUUUUUCUCUAUGUAAUGGUUUUUCUGUGUGCUUCUAUGUUUGGGUGCAUGUAAUUUUUUAAUAGCAACUGCAAUUUUUAUUUUUAUUUUUUUCACAGUUUAUAAUUAUAUGUGGUGUCAAAAACAGUCUCUCUACCUUAUCAAGUUAUUGUUAAGGUUGUGUACACCACCUUCCCUAUACCUCACUUGUGGAAGACCUAGCAAAGUACAAAAUAUGAAUGAAGCAAACGAUCAGUAGGCAACUCCAAUGGUUAGGAUUAAUGUUUAUUAUGUUUUGCUACAGUUAUAUCAAGUAUGUUGUUUGCCAGGAGUCCUUUUUGUUCAUUACUGAUUUGUAUUUCGGAUGGAAAUAUAAAAAAUCUUUGUAAUAGAGUACCUUAAUAAUUUAUGAGUAUUGGAAUGAAACUGCUCCAAAUGAAACAAAAUGUAUAUUUAGUGUUCAUAUAGCCCACCUCAAUUGACUUAGAUUUGAAGCAUAGCUUUUUAAAUUUGUUGAUCGUAGUUUUAUGUACAUAGCAUCUUCUUUUUCUUGAUCAAAGUAGGAUCAUUUUUUCAUUAUAUUUGCUAGGUUCAUCAUGUCCAAAACAACUUCUUCUUUUCCUUUGCAAGGUCAGAUCAUUUUGAACUUCUCUCAUUUUUCAUUCCUUCAUUGUUAUGCUAAAUCUUUGAACGAGUUGUAGCUACAAUAGAAUUAUGUGACGGACACAAUACUUUUGAAAUGUAGUUUAUAUGCAUUUUAUAAGUUGUAUAUGUAUAUUAUUACCAAUAUUUAGAAGUAAGAGUUAGAGAGGAUGAACACGGCUAUGAUUAGUUGUACAAAUAGUAUUUAAAAUUGUACUAUAAAACAUAGGGUCAUUUUGUUGGCCUUUUGUGUCUGUGGAUUUAUUUAAUUGGUUAUUGUUACACGUGUAAUAGAUUGUCAUUCGUGUCAAAAAAUAACUCCCUCAAAUGAAUAGAGAAACGGAGACUGGAAUGUUCCAUUCCCAUUUUCUUUACUGUGAUUCUCAAUUUACCCAUUUUCUCAGUUUUUUUCUUCUCUUUCUUCAUUUGGAUCUAUUAGUAUUAGUUUAUUUAUUUACUCUCCUUUUCCAGAUUUGACCUAAUUUUCAAGAUCUAUUUGAUGCUUGCAUUGAGAGGUAAUUAAUUCUCUUCUUACAUUUCUGUUCUCUAAAGUUUAAUGUAUUUGGUAUUAACUUUUAUAUUUGAUGGAUUUUUCUCCUUUUACAUUGUUUUUAUUUAGAUUUUGUUUCAUGAAAAUGGAAAUAAGAUUGAACUUAGAUAGUAGGAGUGCCAGAAAAUAAGAUGAAGAGAUUUUGUUAGGUUGCUUAUGUCAUUUGGUUGAUGUACAUGUUUUGAACUGUGAGUGUAUCUUAGCAUAGUUUUGAGCAUUGAUGACCUCUCUGAAUUUAACCACUCUAUUUGAGAUCCCAUUUCUUGGGUGGGAAGUCUCAAAUUGAAAAUAAAGUUGUGGGUUUGAAGAUCUUAAUGUUAGAAUUUGUGAUAUAUCCCUCCUCAAUUGUUGCUGCACAUGUUUUGUCACCCUUUGCAAUAAAUUUUGAGCGGUCUGUUGUAGCUUGAGGGUAAUCGUCAUAAAAAAAUUGACAUCUUUUUGGGUUCAAAACAAUGUUUUAAUCUCGCACCAACGUGUGACUUUUAGUCUUUUCCAUAAGCGUUCUAACUUGGACAAGUUAUUGCUCAACAUGAUAUCAAAAUCUAAUUAACGAAUGAGGUAUUUAGUCGUAGUGACCUAUUUGAUAAUUCUCAUAGUUGUCAAUAACAACAGCAUACCCAUUCAAAUUCCACAAGUGGAGUAUGAGGAGGAUAAAGUGUAAGAAGACCUUACCUCUACCUCAUGAAAGUAGAGAAAUUGUUUUUGAAAUUUUCAUAGUUGUCCAAUUAUCUUAUUAUGUUGGUAUAAUCGUAUAAGAAGCCUCUUGUAGAAGUAAUUGAAGGAGUUGCAGCAGGAAAAAUUAGUGUUCCCACAAAAAAGUAUUCUGGCACGACAACGGAUGAGGUCACCUACUUUUAUUUCGAAUUCUUAUGGAUUUAACUCCUUUAUGAUUAAAGACGUUUGAUAAACGUGGCAAUUAAUACUUUUGGAUCCUUGCUCGCUUUUAUAAUUAUUCCUCGACUUAGCUAAUGUGGCAGAAAACAAUCAAGGUUUAGAGACAGAACAAGAAGUAGGCUAAACUAUGGGAAGGGUUGAUUCAGAUUCUCUUGAUUUUCAUGUCCUUCAGGUACAAUGACACAUACUUUUUUCAGGUUCUUCAAAUUUUGGCCCCUUUUUGUUCAAAAAGAACCAUAGUGUUCUGUUUAGUGUACUAAUAAUAUUUAGUGACAGAUUAUGGUGUUGUAUAUUGUAUUUAUUGCAUAUUGGAUUUGAUCACUUCUGUUAAGUCUUGGCAAAAAAUAGGUUUAAGUAUACAUUUAUGUAGAUGUGCUAAGGUGAGGAAUUGCAAUCAGUUACUUCCUGAGAUGCAACUGGAAGAGAGAUAUACGGUACACAAAUAAAAUGUAAAGAAAAAGGGCAAGUGCGACAUUUUAUUGUUGUUAGAAUUGGUAGCCAAAUACAUGUGAAUAUGAGAAGAAAAUGCCAAAGCACAUCCUUAUGUUUCUUAAAGCUAAAAGCAAAAAACAUCAUAACCAUGAAGAACAAGAGAAAUGCAGUAUAUUGUUCAUUUAUGCUAUUCUUACAUCUAGAUUGGAAAAAAUAUUAUGCUACUUCUGUCUCACUGUACUUUUCAUUUCAAGGUACACCAACAAUAUGAGUUAAAAGGAGAUGAUCUACGUGGAAAUAACAGACAACCGAUUGAGUUCAAUUCUCACGUUAGCUAUGUCUAAGAUCUGAGGAUUCGAUGAGCAAUUUUGUUAGUCAAUACUGGUGUUAUCUUAUUUUUCAUGUAUGAAAGGCCUAAUUGUCUUAAUUGAGGGUUGCAGUUAAUUAAGUUAUAGACACUAGUAUCUAUAGUUAUGUUGUUAAAGGUUCAGACAAACAUCUCUCUCCUUAAUUGAGGGUUGGAGCAAGUACUUUGGCUAAUUGUUACAACUUAAAUCUGAUUUGUCAUUUUUAGCCUCGUAGGUUGUAGUUAAAUUCACCUUUACAAAGCACGGUGGCAUCUAUCAUUGAUCAACCUUUGUACAUAAUCGACUUUUCCUUGCAUC